GCAUGGCUGUCGUCAGCUCGUGUCGUGAGAUGUUCGGUUAAGUCCGCUAACGAGCGCAACCCUCGCUGUAUGUUACAUGUGUCAUACAGGACCGCCGGUAUCAAGCCGGAGGAAGGUGGGGAUGACGUCAAGUCCGCAUGGCCUUUAUGUCCGGGGCUACGACACACGCUACAAUGGUCGGUACAAUGGGUUGCUAAGCCGCGAGGUGGAGGCCAAUCCCCCAAAGCCGGCCUCAGUUCAGAUUGCAGGCUGCAACUCGCCUGCAUGAAGCUGGAGUUGCUAGUAAACGCGCGUCAGCUAUAGUGCGUUGAAUACGUUCUCGGGCCUU
rnacentral:rRNA from 1 species